GACGAACGCUGGCGGCGUGCUUAACACAUGCAAGUCGAACGGUAAGGCCCUUCGGGGUACACGAGUGGCGAACGGGUGAGUAACACGUGGGUGAUCUGCCCUGCACUUCGGGAUAAGCCUGGGAAACUGGGUCUAAUACCGGAUAGGACUCCGGACUGCAUGGUCUGGGGUGGAAAGCUUUUGCGGUGUGGGAUGGGCCCGCAGCCUAUCAGCUUGUUGGUGGGGUGAUGGCCUACCAAGGCGACGACGGGUAGCCGGCCUGAGAGGUUGACCGGCCAGACUGGGACUGGGAUACGGCCCAGACUACUACGGGAGGCAGCAGUGGGGAAUAUUGCACAAUGGGCGCAAGCCUGAUGCAGCGACGCCGCGUGAGGGAUGACGGCCUUCGGGUUGUAAACCUCUUUCAGCAUCGACGAAGCGAAAGUGACGGUAGGUGCAGAAGAAGGACCGGCCAACUACGUGCCAGCCGCCGCCGUAA
rnacentral:rRNA from 1 species